rnacentral:misc_RNA from 1 species
GAUGAAGAACGCAGCAAAAUGCGAUAAGUAAUGAGAAUUGCAGAAUUCAGUGAAUCAUCGAAUCUUUGAACGCACAUUGCGCCCGCCAGUAUUCUGGCGGGCAUGCCUGUUCGAGCGUCAUUUCAACCCUCAAGCACAGCUUGGUGUUGGGACUCGCGUUAAUUCGCGUUCCCCAAAUUGAUUGGCGGUCACGUCGAGCUUCCAUAGCGUAGUAGUAAAACCCUCGUUACUGGUAAUCGUCGCGGCCACGCCGUUAAACCCCAACUUCUGAAUGUUGACCUCGGAUCAGGUAGGAAUACCCGCUGAACUUAAGCAUAUCAAUAAGCGGAGGA